UUUUUUGUCUUAGACCUUUUGUCACAAUAACAAAUAUCUAAGAUCAUGUGUAGUAUCUGUUCUUAUCAGUUUAAUAUCUGAUACGUCCUCUAUCCAAGGACAAUAUAUUAAAUGGAUUUUUGGAGCUAGGAGUUGGAAUAGGAGCUUGCUCCGUCCACUCCACGCAUCGACCUGGUAUUGCAGUACCUCCAGGAAGUCCUGAGUUCAAUUC
ensembl:snRNA U2 U2 spliceosomal RNA